rnacentral:lncRNA from 1 species
UAUAUUUUAUGUUUUCAAGAUAAAUUAUUAAGCAAAUGACCCAUUUAUUCUUCUUUUUUUUUGUGCAAUAUGAAUUUUUGGAUGUUAUAAAAACAAUAAAGAAUAAGUGGUAUAUAUUGAUUUCAAUAGAGGAAAAUUGACAAUCUCUCUUAAUUGUUUUUAGUGAAUUUAUUGCGAUAUGCUAAUAUUACAAGUAGAUAGAAAGAAUUAAACAAAUAUGACUUGACUUGAGUAAUCCAUGAAUCAUGAUUCGAACUCUUUAAUUUAAAUGUGCCUAACUUGAGGUUUCACAGUCACGCAUAUUUAUUACAUAAGUUUGCAUUUUACGAGAGAAAGAAACUUUUAUUCACAGAUGAAGACAAUGAAUUUCUCAAAAGUAUAAGAACAACUUGUAAUAAAAUAAUAUAGGUUCCAAUCAUCAAACAGACAGGUGCAUACUGAUUUAUAUAUACACAAAUACAUGCAAGCAAAAUUUGAUUCGGAAUUCCGGAUGGCUUGUAGUCUAGCAGUGCAUUAAUUUCCACGGUACAAGUAAUUAAGGACAAGAUUUAUCAAUAAUGGUGCCAACAAAUUGAUUUUUGGCUUUUUCGAGAUUAAAUACUUUGUAUCCUAAUUACUAAGUCAAAGCAAUGACGCAAUACCAAAUCUGAAGCCAGCUCUAUGACAAUGAGCAUUUCAAAAGACACAUUUAAUUUUCUUUUAAAAUUUAUUUAUUUACUUAUUUGAUAAAUAAACAAGU